rnacentral:rRNA from 1 species
GCCAGACUCCUACGGGAGGCAGCAGUGGGGGAUAUUGGACAAUGGGGGGAACCCUGAUCCAGCGACGCCGCGUGAGUGAAGAAGUAUUUCGGUAUGUAAAGCUCUGUCAGCAGGGAAGAAAGAAAUGACGGUACCUGACCAAGAAGCCCCGGCUAACUACGUGCCAGCAGCCGCGGUAAUACGUAGGGGGCAAGCGUUAUCCGGAAUUACUGGGUGUAAAGGGAGCGUAGACGGUUAAGUAAGUCUGGAGUGAAAUCCCGGGGCUUAACCCCGGAACUGCUUUGGAAACUGUGCGGCUAGAGUGCAGGAGAGGUAAGUGGAAUUCCUAGUGUAGCGGUGAAAUGCGUAGAUAUUAGGAGGAACACCAGUGGCGAAGGCGGCUUACUGGACUGUAACUGACGUUGAGGCUCGAAAGCGUGGGGAGCAAACAGGAUUAGAUACCCCUGUAGA